rnacentral:rRNA from 1 species
GUGCCAGCAGCCGCGGUAAUACGUAGGUGGCAAGCGUUGUCCGGAUUUAUUGGGUUUAAAGGGUGCGUAGGUGGUUCCAUAAGUCAGUGGUGAAAUACGGCAGCUUAACUGUCGAGGUGCCAUUGAUACUGCGGAACUUGAGUACAGACGAGGUAGGCGGAAUUGACGGUGUAGCGGUGAAAUGCUUAGAUAUCGUCAAGAACACCGAUAGCGAAGGCAGCUUACUAGACUGUAACUGACACUGAGGCACGAAAGUGUGGGGAUCAAACAGGAUUAGAAACCCCCGUAGUCC